rnacentral:rRNA from 1 species
AGUGAACGCUGGCGGUAGGCCUAACACAUGCAAGUCGAACGGCAGCACAGUAAGAGCUUGCUCUUACGGGUGGCGAGUGGCGGACGGGUGAGGAAUACAUCGGAAUCUACUUUUUCGUGGGGGAUAACGUAGGGAAACUUACGCUAAUACCGCAUACGACCUACGGGUGAAAGCAGGGGAUCUUCGCACCUUGCGCGAUUGAAUGAGCCGAUGUCGGAUUAGCUAGUUGGCGAGGUAAAGGCCCACCAAGGCGACGAUCCGUAGCUGGUCUGAGAGGAUGAUCAGCCACACUGGAACUGAGACACGGUCCAGACUCCUACGGGAGGCAGCAGUGGGGAAUAUUGGACAAUGGGCGCAAGCCUGAUCCAGCCAUACCGCGUGAGUGAAGAAGGCCUUCGGGUUGUAAAGCCCUUUUGUUGGGAAAGAAAAGCAGCAGGUUAAUACCCCGCUGUUCUGACGGUACCCAAAGAAUAAGCACCGGCUAACUUCGUG